rnacentral:lncRNA from 1 species
AGUAAUAAUAAAAUUCAAUAAAUGUUAAAAUAAACAACGAGGGCAGGAAAAUGAAGAUUAAAAGACUGUCAAGAUAUUCUUGAACCGGCUGGGUCUUUCUUUUCAGCUAGGUUAUUCAGCUGGGUUAUUGUAAAUCUCCAGCUUUCUUUUCGCAUAAGCUUUCAUACCUCCAUGUGGAUCUCAAUGGGUGGAUUUAGGAACUCCG